GAGGACCCUUACAGCCAUAAUUUACUUGAUGUUGAUAUUCCACGUGGAUAACUGUGGUAAUUCUAGAGCUUAUACAUGCACCAAAGCUCCGAUCUCAUGACGAGCGCAUCUAUUAGACCAAAAACCAAUCGAGAAUAUUCGCCUCAAAACGAAUGCCUCGUAAAUUUGGUGACUCUGAAUAGCUUAUCUGAUCGCAUGGUCUCGCACCGGCGACGUAUCUAUCAAGUGUCUGCCUUAUCAACUUUCGAUGGUAGUUUAUAUGCCUACCAUGGUUGUAACGGGUAACGGAGAAUAAGGGUUCGACUCCGGAGAGGGAGCCUGAGAAACGGCUACCACAUCCAAGGAAGGCAGCAGGCGCGCAAAUUACCCACUCUCAACACGAGGAGGUAGUGACGAAAAAUAACGAGACCGUUCUCUUCCAGGCCGGUUAUCGGAAUGAGUACAAUUUAAAGCCGUUAACUAGGAUCUAUGAGAAGGGAGGUCUGGUGCCCACAGCCGCGGUAAUUCCAGCUCUCGUAGUGUAUAUCUGGUUUGCUUCCGUUAAAAAGCUUGUAAUUGGAUUUAAGCUCCACGACUCCGGCCCUCCAUAAGAUGAGAACAGAGCACAUCGGCUACCUGAUCCGGUUUGUCUACCUGCCCGAGAUGACGCCUAUGGUGGCAACAAGUUUAUACGCGAAAAAGUAUGAGUUGGUGCGAGCUUAGGAAGUGUACAUUCGUGUACCGCUAAUCGGAUGAGAACUACCGUUCUCUAACAAAAAAAAACGAAAGAUCAUAGGGGAGCGGGAACGGUUUGUUUCCAGUCGAGUUAGGGCCGGUGAUCCCCGCGCAAAUGCUCAUGCACAGUAUCAAAGGAGGGCGGGACCGGCAGCUUAACACACCCCCCGAGGACUGGCAGAUGAGAUUGUGUACUGGCGUGGGUACUCACAGAAGAAGAUAAUGUACCGCCGCCGCUAGAUUUUUCUAAUUCGUGUUACGCGCGCAAGCGCAUCGUUUUCGUACUGAACAAGGUAUUCCUUAAUCCGGCUAGCAAAUAAAGACACCCCAGCCGUUUAUAUUUUCAUCUGAGCCGCGGCGCACCCCAGCUUUACAUCGUUCCAACACGGGGGGGGCAACCUUGAGCACAAAGAGAGUCCAGUAUGGACCAAC
rnacentral:rRNA from 1 species